rnacentral:lncRNA from 1 species
CUCAUUCAUGCACUAAAUAAGCCCCUAAUUAAUCUUGAACCUCGGAGAAAGGCGACUAGAUUGCCAUUUUCUCCGUAAGGACGCACUUCACAUUUUGGGAAGUUUGAAGAGGCUCUUCAGCAUUUUCCUUUAGUGGUAUUUUAUCAGCAUUUUAGAGAAGCUUCAUUAGGCUGCCGAAAGCUGCUAAUUGCAUUACCAUAUUUUUAAGCCUCAC